GCUGGUUCGUCAUAAUCGGAAAGCCUAGGGAGACGCUGCAGCGGGUCGGGCUGUGCUGUAAGCGGUCAGUCGGACAGCAGCAGCAGCAGCAGCAGCGAGCGCUGGCGGUGCUGUGGGGAGGGUCCGUGUCCCGAUUCGGCCGGACUUUGGCCACUGUCCCUUCAGAACCACCGCUCCGAAAUUAUUCUCAUACGUGCUGCCUUUGUUUGUCCAGGAAACCGUGAGAUCACGCAACGGUGAACAUCGCAUAAACAAUCGGGAAAAACCGAAGCGUUGCUACGAACUUUACAUUUCCCUCGAAUUAGUGUGAAACAAAGCGGUGAUUAAAAGUUGGAAUUGGUCAUUAGGUGCGUCAAUCUCCGCGUCUUCGCCCUCAAACCGAUGUCGGUCGCCUGUCGUCCAGCGCUCUCUCUGAUUGGUUAGUCGCAGCUCUCAGGGACCCUCUAUUGGUCCACCGCCCGUCCGUCAUAGCAUCGUGGGCGGGACUUUGAGGCCUCGGCUCCCGAGAGGCGAGAAAAAGCUAAAGCUGCACUUUUCCAGUGUUCUGUUGCAGAAGCUACCGCUGAGUCUCGCGCACUCACGCUGUCGCGCACUCGCUCGCAGUUCGUAGCGUCUCGCCGGCGGAAUCCCGGAAAAGAGCGGUGUCCGCGGGGAGGGGGGAGGAAAGGCAGCACUCGGCGCGCGAGGACACACUGACUGCACGGCACAGCGUCGCGAGCCCUCACCUGGAUAAACUCGUGCGCCCGCGUGCGGGGAGAAAAGAAGGGGCGGACGGAAAGAAGAAGCAAGUCGAGCAUCUCUCCGCGCCGGUUCGGGUGAAGGAAACGAGAAGAAUAUGAUCGUGAAAGGGCACCUGCUCUUUGCCCUCUACAGCAUCUGCGGGAUCGUUCUGAGAGGUUCCUUCGAGCAUCUUAAGAUCUGCACUGUGCCUGUUACUGCACUGGCCAUAAAGAAAACUGUAUCUUCACUCCGUUUUCCUAUUCAUUAAUAUCCAUUCCACCUGCAGCGUCCUGCAGUAUUUUGAAAUUAAGCAUCGUUUUUACUCUUUCCUAAAGGUACGGUGAGGCUCUCUCACAUCCAUAUUUGGAAGCCAUCUUUGCCUGCUCUUCUCUGCGGACCCAUGUCAUUCCACAUCCCUGAGAGUCC
ensembl:lncRNA